rnacentral:rRNA from 1 species
GUCUUAUAGAUUUUAAUUUUAAGUCAAUCUGCUCAAUGAAUUAAUUUUUAAAUGGCUGCAGUAUAUUGACUGUACAAAGGUAGCAUAAUAAAUUGUCUUUUAAUUGAAGAAUGGAAUGAAAGAAUUAAUGAAAUAUAAACUGUCUCUAUUAUAUUUAAUAAAAUUAAAUUUUUAGUUAAAAUGCUAAAAUUAAAUUAUGGGACGAUAAGACCCUAUAGAAUUUUAUAUUAUUAAUAAAAUAAAAAUAAAAUUUUAUUUUUAUUUUAUUAAUAAUAUUUUAUUGGGAUGAUUAAUAAAUUAAAUUAACUUUAUUAAAAUAAAAACUUUGAUUUAAGAAAAUUAAAUUGAUAAAAUUAUAUUAAUUAAUAAAUUAAAUUACCUUAGGGAUAACAGCGUAAUAUCUUUUAUAAGAUCUUAUUAAUAAAGAUGUUUGCGACCUCGAUGUUGAAUUAAGAUAAAUUUUAAAUGAAGAAAUUUAAUAAUUAAGUCUGUUCGACUUUUAAAAUCUUACAUGAUUUGAGUUCAGAUCGACGUAAGU